CCCAGUUCCAAAAGACACAACAUCCUCAGUGUCCUGGAGCUCCAGCUGAAGCACUGGCCACUCCACCUUCUCCAUCCCCACCCAAAAGAGGUACUUCUAAGGCAGCUCGUUGAAGGUGUGAUUGAGGUCCAUGCCAGAGGGGUUCUGCACUGUGACCUCAAGCCAUAGAACAUCCUGGUUCAGAUGUACAGUUAGGAACCACGCCUUCAUCUUCUGUUCUUCUGGACCUUCCUCAUGAGUGGUUUACCCAUGAGACCAAAUCCUCCACAGUGUUGCAGAUAGGAAUCAUCCUGCUGUGUGUGAGAGGUGACCCUUCAACACCAGCACGGAGAUCACCUCAAAGAAGUCUCAGAUCAUCUCUCCACCAUCUGCUCUAUGACCCCUGGCUAAGUAUACACCACGACACAGCCACCACAUCAGGCACACCUCAGUCAGGUACCAUAUAAAACAAUAAUAAUAAUUUUAAAAAAUCUAUAUUUUCAAUCUCUAGUUUAGAGAGUUCUCUAGUAGAGCUGGGCGAUUAAUCGAUUUUAUCGAUAAAUUCGAAUUUAUAGUUAAGGACAAUGUGUUUUUAUGAAAAUCGAUUUUCUCUGAGUUUUCUUUUUCACCACAGACGCUCCUCUGUGGGCACAGAGUGAGCUUAGCUAGCUCCCUCCAUACCUCCCUCCCUCCAGCGCGCGCACCCCCCGCCCCUCCCUCACUCCCUCCCUCCCUCCCUUGCACGCACAAACACACACGCACACACACAUACACAAAACACAUGACUGCGGAGCUUAAGAGCAACUGGCUCCGUGAUCUGGAGUUGGUUCAGUUUUGCGGCGUCGGACGUAGACCAAACAGGUCCUCGCUGUAAGGUGAACCAAUUUAUCA